rnacentral:lncRNA from 1 species
ACUUAUUUUCAACUUAAUUGUGAAGAGAUGUGCAAACUUUGAUUUAAAAUCAAUCAUUCAUUCAUUAGUUAUUAAAAUUUAAAUCUACUAUAGGAAUUACUUAGAAUUAUUUAGAGUUUGGUUAAGAUAUGUUUAGGAUUUGAUUAGCAUUUGGAUAAGUUUUUCUUAGGAUUUGAUUAGGAUUUGAUUAAGAUUUUUUUAGGAUUUGAUUAAGGUUUGGCUAAAAUUUGUUAAGAUUUGACUAGGAUUUGGUUAAAAUUUGUUAGGAUUUAAGUAGAAUUAGAUUACGGUUUGUUUAAGAUUUAAUUAAGAUUUAUUUAGGAUUUGGUUAAAAUUUAAUUAGGAUUAGUUUAAGAUUUUUAGGAUUUAUUUAGGAUUUGAUCAGAGUUUGGUUAGGAUUUAUUGAAAUUUGAUUAGGAUUUGAUUGGGAUUUGUUUAAGAUUUGUUAAGGAUUUGACUAGGAUUUGGUUAAGAUUUGUUUAGGAUUUGAUUAGGAUUUGUUUAAGAUUUGUUAAGGAUUUGACUAGGAUUUGGUUAAGAUUUGUUUAGAAUUUGAUUAAGAUUGAUUAAGGUUUUUUUAGGAUUUGAUAAGGAUUUAAUUAGGAUUUAUUUAGGAUUUGGUUAGAAUUUGACUAGUAUUUAAUUAAGAUUUCUAUUUUAAAUUUUAUUAAGUUUUCUAUUUUUCUAUAUUUUUAAAUUCUAUAUUAUUUCUUUACUUUUCCUUUAAAGAUUCUUUAAAAAUACUUUGUGUUUCUUAUAUAAUUUCUUUGAAAUUUUGA